AGGGGUCUCGCGACCACCCCGUGAGACUUUGGUCUAAGGUUCGC
rnacentral:ncRNA from 1 species